rnacentral:pre_miRNA from 1 species
UGAUAUGUUUGAUAUUAGGUUGUUACGCUAGACCUCACCUGAAUAUCAGACAUAUUCCUA